rnacentral:rRNA from 1 species
AGAGUUUGAUCCUGGCUGAGAGUGAACGCUGGCGGCGUGCCUAACACAUGCAAGUCGAACGAGAACGGGUUUAGUUUACUAAACUGUCAGCUAAGUGGCGCACGGGUGAGUAAUAUAUAGUUAACCUGCCCCAAAGAAGAGAAUAAUUGUUGGAAACGACUUGUAAUGCUCUAUAUGCCUUUAAGACAUAAGUCUGCAAGGGAAAUAUUUAUAGCUUUGGGAUGGGACUGUACGGUAUCAGCUUGUUGGUGAGGUAAUGGCUCACCAAGGCUAUGACGCCUAACUGGUUUGAGAGGAUGAUCAGUCACACUGGAACUGAGACACGGUCCAGACUCCUACGGGAGGCAGCAGUGGGGAAUAUUGCACAAUGGAGGAAACUCUGAUGCAGCAACGCCGCGUGGAGGAUGACACAUUUCGGUGCGUAAACUCCUUUUAUAUGAGAAGAUAAUGACGGUAUCAUAUGAAUAAGCACCGGCUAACUCCGUGCCAGCAGCCGCGGUAAUACGGGGGGUGCAAGCGUUACUCGGAAUCACUGGGCGUAAAGAGCAUGUAGGCUGGUUUGUAAGUUGGAAGUGAAAUCCUAUGGCUUAACCAUAGAACUGCUUCCAAAACUGCAGACCUAGAAUAUGGGAGAGGUAGAUGGAAUUUCUGGUGUAGGGGUAAAAUCCGUAGAGAUCAGAAGGAAUACCGAUUGCGAAGGCGAUCUACUGGAACAUUAUUGACGCU